rnacentral:rRNA from 1 species
GUGAGGAAUAUUGGUCAAUGGGCGGAAGCCUGAACCAGCCAUGCCGCGUGAAGGAAUAAGGCCCUAUGGGUCGUAAACUUCUUUUGACGGGGAGCAAUAAGGGUCACGCGUGGCCCGAUGAGAGUACUCGUCGAAUAAGCAUCGGCUAACUCCGUGCCAGCAGCCGCGGUAAUACGGAGGAUGCAAGCGUUAUCCGGAUUUAUUGGGUUUAAAGGGUGCGUAGGCGGACGUGUAAGUCAGGGGUGAAAUACCGGGGCUCAACCUCGGAACUGCCUUUGAUACUGCAUGUCUGGAGUUCGGAUGCCGUGGGAGGAAUGGGCAGUGUAGCGGUGAAAUGCAUAGAUAUUGCCCAGAACACCGAUUGCGAAGGCAUCUCACGAAUCCGACACUGACGCUGAGGCACGAAAGCGUGGGGAUCAAACAGG